rfam:Ktedonobacter sp. 13_1_40CM_4_52_4 13_1_40cm_4_scaffold_22266, whole genome shotgun sequence.
GUUAUGCGGCGCGAAAGGCGGUGAGAGAAAAAUGGAUAACCAGCCGAUCUGCCACAGCCUGUGGACAAGGCGCGAACUGGCAGAACCGUUGGCUUCGUCAAGACACCCAGGAGUGCUGCCUCAGCUCCUGGCGCUGUCGUUCAUCGUUAAAAGGCGGUUCGGGGUGUCAGCCGGUGCGAUGAGCCGAACAAGCCAAGCCAACAGCGGCGAGGAGAAUGGUGG